AACAGGAGGAUGGACAUCAAACUAAACCAUGAACUAACUACAUCCAGGUGCCCAGAGGGCAGAGGUCAACCUCAACAUGGUGUCUGGAUGACCUGUCUGGGAUGUGUGGCGAGGAGAACAUACAUGGUUCCUUCCUACCGAAGUACAUAGUGCACAUUGACACCAAUCACAAGCUUAUCAGGUACAACUUUGAUAUCUUUGGGGAAUAGAUGGCUAUCCAAGGAAGAUUAUGUACCUGAAGGUAGCAGACAACAACCGGUCCAACGGCCACUUUACCUUCUUCAAUGAAGCUAUGAAUGAGCAUGGGUUUCCACUGAGAAUUUUGCAAGAAUUUUGGUGUGAUGUGUUCAUGAGUGUUACAGGUGUGUAUUACAACACCCUGCACUCUUGAGGACCAACACUUCAUCAACAUCAGCAACAUCCUGCACAUGUUCUGCUGCCACUACGUUUUCCUGCCAUGCAUCCAGGCCAGUCUGGAUGUCUUCAGUGAGGAGUGAGCCAACCAUCCCAUCAGGACAGAGCAAAACCUGACACCAAAUCAGUUGUGGCAGUUGGGCCAGGCCCUGAAUCCUGUUGCAGAUCUUGAUGCUGAUGCUGCGGUAAAUUAUGCAUUUGUUAAAAUGUCUCAUCACAA